UCUUGGUCAUUUAGAGGAAGUAAAAGUCGUAACAAGGUCUCCGUUGGUGACCAGCGGAGGGAUCAUUACAGAGUUAUACAACUCCCAUACCAUCUGUUAACCUACCCAGUUAUGCCUCGGCGUAAGCUCGGUUGGAGGCACCUGCAGCUACCCUGUAGUUGCGGACUGCCAACUCCAGCCGCGGCCCGCCGGCGGUACACUAAACUCUGUUUUAUUUUAUAUUCUGAGCGUCUUAUUUUAAUAAGUUAAAACUUUCAACAACGGAUCUCUUGGUUCUGGCAUCGAUGAAGAACGCAGCGAAAUGCGAUAAGUAAUGUGAAUUGCAGAAUUCAGUGAAUCAUCGAAUCUUUGAACGCACAUUGCGCCCAUCAGUAUUCUGGUGGGCAUGCCUGUUCGAGCGUCAUUUCAACCCUUAAGCCUAGCUUAGUGUUGGGAAUCUGCUGUACUGCAGUUCCUUAAAGACAGUGGCGGAGCGGCGGUAGUCCUCUGAGCGUAGUAAUUUAUUUCUCGCUUUUGUCAGGCUCUGUCCUCCCGCCAUAAAACCCCCAAUUUUUUAGUGGUUGACCUCGGAUCAGGUAGGAAUACCCGCUGAACUUAAGCAUAUCAAUAAG
rnacentral:rRNA from 1 species